GAAAACCUAGUUGCAGCUUCUCUAGUUCUCUGCAUCUUCCAAAGAGAGCCGAUCCAAAUCUCAAAAAAUGAAGUUUGUUGCUGCAUAUUUGCUCGCCGUCUUGGGAGGCAACACCAGCCCCUCAGCCGGGGACUUGAAGGAAAUCCUCGCAUCCAUUGGAGCUGAUGCUGAUGAUGAUAAGAUUGAGCUGUUGCUGUCUCAAGUUAAAGGAAAGGACCCU
rnacentral:misc_RNA from 1 species